AAAUGAUAUUGCCACCAUUUGUGCAAUGAAGAAUCAGAAGCUCAAAAGUCAGUCUCAAAAUAAGGACUUGAAGGGAGCUGCAUUUAGGUUUCUGACUCUAAGCCUAGUGCCGAUUCUACUAUAUUAACUGGUUUCUUUAAGAUAACAAUGAACAUUGUGAUAAUAUUUACAGUUUCUAUAGCACUUUCAUGUAGAUUAUCCAAUUUGUGCUUCACACUGAGGCAGAGAUAGAGAGCCUGUAAUUAUCUUCAAUUAUAAAUAAAGUAAUUAAAGUGCUGGGAAAUUAAAUGAUGUUUCAAAUAAUGAGACUGGAAUCCAAGUCUCCAAAUGCCAUUAACUAAUGAAUUAAACACAUAUUUAGACAAAUACUCAAUAUGCAUCAAGUUCUAUGUCAAGAGCUAGGGAUUUGAAAGAAAGCAAGGUCUCUGCCCUCACGGAGCUUGCAUCCUAAUGAGAAUUGGUAGAAUGAAAGGAAAGAAAUGUGAGAACAAGGUAAUGAGGGAAAACUACAAGGGUAAUGAGAAAAAGCAUAACCUGUCAGGGUGGGUGGUGUUUCUGUAUUUGGAUGAGAUAGACGAGGUGGAUGGUGUUUACGUGUUUAGAUAAGGAAGGCUGCUCAGAGGAGCAAACAUCUGAGCUGAGAACUAGUGUAAUAACAUUCCUAAUAAAGGGGACAGAAAUUAUGUUAGUGUAGAAAGGAAGAAUAAUCAGCAAAAUAUCUAGUAUGAGUAAGACACAGUUCCAAGUCCGUUGUGAAUUUGAAUCACUUAAUCCUCAUGGCAUCUUUUUGAGGUAGCUACUAUUGUUAUUCCCAAAUUACAAGUAGGAGAAUUGUCUCGUCUUGCAUAGAGAAGUUAAGUAAAUUGGCCAACAUUGCAUAGCUGGCAAGUGCCAGAGCCAGGGCUGCGAUUUGCAUGUAUGCAGUCUACGUUCUUAAUGCAAUACGCCGUGCUGGUGCUGAAAGGGCAGCAGGAAGGCCAGUGUGGCAGAAGCAUGAUGAGAAGCACUUCCUUGAGUACAGCUGGUGGUCUUGUUACAGGCAGAAGGGCCCACUCAACAUAUCCAGUAUUAGGUAUUUCCUACUUAUAAGGUUGCAUCUGGGAAAGACUGAAAAUGAAUGCAUCGAGAGCUCUGAGUGCCACAGGAUGAAGCUCAUGUGAGUGCAAAUGUGAACAUAUUUAUACCGGGAAGUAAACGUUUCUUUCCCUUUCUUCCUGGAUGUUGGUAGAAUAUCCUUCCAUGAAUAUCUAGGUGGAUAUUGUCUUUACUUAACAAAUCUGGCUUCCAGAUUGUCUAGUUGGUAAGUGCUCUCAGAAUCUCCAAUGUGCCAGACACAGACAGCUGUUCUUGUUUGAUUAUCGACUUAACUAUGAAAUGUGUCUCCUGACAUUUGCUUGUGAGGGUAGCUUUGGCAGAGUUGGUAAGAAGGAGAAAAGGUAAAUCUGUGUCAGUUAAAAUGCAUCAACGUUUUAAUUGUUUUUGUUCAAUUUUUGAUCAAAUCGCUUCUGAAACUUUGCCCACACGUCUUCUGUGUGGAAAUCCUGGGCAAUUAUUCUGCUGUAGGGGUUCUUGGUGCUGUGUUGUAUCCAUUUGGCCCUGCUUCUCUUUGGUGUGAUUUCAUGUUGAUGAAUUAUCAUUUUUCCUCUACUCUAAUAAGGCACAGGACAAGAUAGUGAGGAGGGGGAAAGAAUAAUCACCAUUACCCUUCAUAAGGAAACAUAAUUAUGAAAAAACUAUCUUGUUUCCUUGGAGCACUGGGGAUACACUGCCAUGACUUGGAAACAUUUUGUGAAUUUGCAGCGAUUUUCAAGACCGACUAUUGUUUACCAUGUUAAUUUCUUAUUGAUUUUUUUAGCAAUUUUAAAUUCUUAAAGCUUAGCUUAGCAUGCACCUCUAGGCUUUUUAAUUAGAUCUGUAUAUAAAAGUCCAUAGUGUUGAUGGAACUUUUAUGAAUUGUUUUAAGAUCUGGGGAAAAAAAGAGAAGGACUUUAUCUUUUUUUUAGUACUCACUUUUGUUAUGAAGAUUGUGAUGAAAAUAAAGGAUA
rnacentral:lncRNA from 13 species